rnacentral:lncRNA from 1 species
GCGGGGCGCUCCGAGGCGCGCUCCCACGCGCGCACACCCAGCCCCAGGCUUCCCCUUCCCUCUCUCCACUCCCCACGCCCUGCAGCGAAACGGCCCCAGAAGCCCCUCUCCGAGGCGCGAGUUCGGUUUGGUUCUGGCAGGGGCUUUGCAGCUGUCCGGAAGGUGAAGUCAGCCUUGUGUCCUGAGGAGAAACUGGAGAUGCAGGUCGCUGUGCCCUCCCGCUGCUACGUCGCUGCGCCGGAUCCUGCCAUCCUUCCGCAAGGGGUGAGAGCGGGAACAGCCCUGCCCUGCCUUCCAGGUAUUAUCUAGCCUGGAGGCUGGAGCGCAAGGUAACGCUCCGGGAAGUGGCACUCGGGUCCCCGCACACGGGCGAGUCCUCAGCAGUUCAGUGGACAGACCCGCAGGACGCGGCUGCCAAGUCCGCGAGGCAAGGACCAGGCAUCUUCCCGCGCCUCACUCCAGCCUGCGGACUGUGACUUUCCAUCCCAGUAUCAGACAAGCUCGCGAGUAACUGAACAUCCUUUCCAGUCCAUGGGUGGGGUGUGGAAAGGGCGUAAAACUCCAAAGUGGCUCCUCCGCGGUGAGCGAGCUGCCCCGGGGCUCUGCCUGACUGCAGCGCGAAGCCUGGGAGAACAAACCCAGUUCCCUCCGUCAAGAAAUUUCCAUUUAAGUCCGAGAAAGUCAUAUGAUUGAGAAGUUCAGCAGCGGCGGCGAGGACCCAGUGUCUGGGAAAGAACACCUGGAGGAUGGGGUGUCCAGGACGCCGGCUUUUCGGGGUUCCGACCCCACCCACCUUAUGUUGUAACAUACAAGCUUAGAGACCUGUUGCAAGGAACAACUGACUGGGUCUUCCACCACCCCUGGCACCCGGGUGGCCCAAAGCCUAUGCGCCCUUGGCGGAGAGAGAGGCCACGGUGCCACUGGCCGCAGCCUCUGGCCUUCAGAAACAGUGUAUUACAAAGAAAAGGCAGUUUAAAUCUCACAUUCAGCAUAGGGAAAACUGAAGGGUGCCAGGCUCGGGGACUUCUUCCAACAGAGUGGCUCUUCCCCAAAUAUGAAAGAAAAUCAUCAAAUUAAAUUGAAGGCAAAACUAAGCUUCCACCACAAAGACAUAGCAGAUAGUUGCAAGAAAUUAAUCAGAGAACCCAGGACAACGUCAGAGAUCAUAUGAGCCUCACCAGACUGCAUGAGAGUCAUAACACAGUAGGAGUCCCAGGCCUACCUCACAUGGCAAAUGGGACAGUGUUCUUCAGAACAACCUCUGCCCCAGGGAUGCAGAAAGGAGGGUUUCACUAUGUUGGCCAGUCUGGUGUUGAACUCCUCACCUCAAAUGAUCUGCCCACCUUGGCCUCCCAAAGCGUUGGAGUUACAGACGUGAGCCACCGCGCCCAGCUGGAGAAGAUGUGAAAUUUUGAGAGCUGACCAUACUUUGAGAAUAAUAAGUAGUUGGAUUCUACUGAAGCCCAGUGGCUUUUGGAGGUGUAGCAAUAAGCAGGAGGCAGCAGAAGUAAGACAAGGGCUGUAUGACAAAGUCUUGGCAAGAACUUUGAAUUUUAUCCUGAUGUGAGUGGGGAGAGCCACUGAAGAACGUGAAGCCAGAAACACUACAUGUUACUACUUCUACUUUCAGAAAAGGCUUAAUAUGGAUUAUACACCUACAAGUGGCACACACUGUUCCAAGUGGAGACUCAAAGAUGAUAACGAUACAGUGUUUAUGCUAUAGGUUUGUGAAGCUACCAAUCCAUGGACAGAUGUUAAACCUAACUUCCAAUUUCAGGUACAAAUAUCUGAGUAAAUGAUGGUAUCAUUUACUCAAUCAGUAAAGGUCAAAGAGAAGGCAGUCUGAAGAAGGGAAAGGUGUUCAAUUUUGCAUUGAGUUUGACAUACCUGUUGAGACAGCUCAGUGGAGAUAUCCAGUUGAUGCUUGGAUAUAUGGACUUACAGCUCAGGGGGAGCUAGAAAUUGAAAUUUGAGAAUCAUCAACCUAUAUUUAUAAUGGGUGAAAUCAAUAAGUCGGAAUCAAAUUACCUGGGGAAGCAUGCAGAUUUGUUUAAAAAGGAAGAGGCCUGAGAACCCAACCCUGGUAAGCAUGACCAUUCAGGAUAAGAGAGAAGGAGCAAGUAGGGAAAGAGACUGAAAUAAAGAAACCUGAGUAACCACUGAGGACCACUGCUACAAUAGAGAAAAAGGAACUUCAUUAGGGAAAUGCCUGAAAGCGAAUAAGGUAAGGAUUUUGGAUUUAGCAACAAAGAGGUCAUUUGAAGAAGUUGUUUUUAUUUUUAUUUCCUUGCAGAAUUGUAGAAAUAGAAAUCAAAUCAGAGUGAGCAGAGAAACAAUUUGAAGAUAAGGGAAUGGAGAUAAUUAUUUUAAAGUGGGAGAAGCAAGCAGAAGAUUUAGGUUUGAAGAAGGCACUAUACAAAAUAAUGUUGAUUCACUUGAGACUUGAGUGGCUGUUACAGCCACUCUCACAGGUCCCGAGGCUGAGCCUGCACAGGUGUUUCGACAACUAAGCUGCAAUUUUGACAGACACUAUUUCACUGUCAAUUGUGCGGCCUGCAACAACUUGGACAUCUUUUAUUGAUUUUAUUGAGUACUUUAAUAACAUUUUAAUAAAAGCCAUUAUAUUUUAUUUCUAACAUUU